AGCGAACGCUGGCUGCAGGCCUAACACAUGCAAGUCGAACGAACCCUGCGGGGUUAGUGGCGGACGGGUGAGUAACACGUGGGAAAGGGCCAUUAGGUUAGGAGUAACUCAGGGAAACUGGUUCUAAUACCGAAUGUGCCCUCCGGGGGCAAGAUUUAUCGCCGUUAGAGCGGGCCGCGUCUGAUUAGCUAGUUGGUGAGGUAAUGGCUCACCAAGGCUACGAUCAGUAGCGGGUCUGAGAGGAUGACCAGCCAAAUUGGGACUGAGACACGGCCCAAACUCCUACGGGAGGCAGCAGUGGGGAAUCUUGCGCAAUGGGCGAAAGCCUGACGCAGCCAUGCCGCGUGGAUGAUGAAGGUCUUAGGAUUGUAAAAUCCUUUCACCGGUGAAGAUAAUGACUGUAGCCGGAGAAGAAGCCCCGGCUAACUUCGUGCCAGCAGCCGCCGUAACAC
rnacentral:rRNA from 1 species